rnacentral:rRNA from 1 species
GUAGGUGGCAAGCGUUGUCCGGAAUUAUUGGGCGUAAAGCGCGCGCAGGCGGUUCGUUUAAGUCUGAUGUGAAAGCCCACGGGCUCAACCGUGGAGGGUCAUUGGAAACUGGAGAACUUGAGUACAGAAGAGGAAAGCGGAAUUCCACGUGUAGCGGUGAAAUGCGUAGAGAUGUGGAGGAACACCAGUGGCGAAGGCGGCUUUCUGGUCUGUAACUGACGCUGAGGCGCGAAAGCGUGGGGAGCAAACAGGAUUAGAUACCCUGGUAGUCCACGCCGUAAACGAUGAGUGCUAAGUGUUAGGGGGUUUCCGCCCCUUAGUGCCGCAGCUAACGCAUUAAGCACUCCGCCUGGGGAGUACGGCCGCAAAGGCUG